CUAUUUUGAGUGCCACUUUCUAUGUCUUAACCUAGAAGUUUUUCCUCUGAUGUAAUAGACAGAUUGGAUGUUAUAUUCUGACGAUCUUAAGUCUUCUGAUAAUUGUGGGGUUUUUUCCCCCUUGGCACAUUCAGGGUGUCUUGCUUGGUGUUCUAGGCAGAUGAUUGGCUGCGUGUGAGAAAUCUGUGAUUGCAUGGGAAGGAGGAUGGGGAUUUUGGAAAAGAAUAUAGUAUUGUGAAGUCAAAUUGUGUGUUAUCCUUGGAAACAGUGGCUUACUCCCUAGCCCAUCCGCUUCAUUGUUCGGAGUGAACAGUUGUUGCAUGAGAGCUGAGUGCUGCUGCCCAGGGCCAGUUCACAGAGUUCAUGAGUACAAUUGAAGGGAUUGUGAGCUUAAACCUUCCUGCAUCACGGGGAAAGCUGCCUUCACUGGCAUUUCUUCGAAGUAGCCAUUUUUACCCUUUUCCUUCUCUUUUUCUUCCCUGCCUUUAGCCCUGUGACCCCUAGCACCCCAGGGAGCCCACCUGUGAGUCCUGGGCCCUUGUCACCAGGAGGCACCCCGGGGAAGCAUGUCUGUGGCCACCAUCUGCACACAGUGGGAGGUGUCGUUGAACGGGAUGUGUGCCAACGCUGUAGGCAUAAGCGAUGGCACUUCAUAAGACCUACCAACAAGUCCAAAGAAGCCCGGCCACGGCGUCACGGGGAGGUCACUGUCCUCUCUGUCGGCAGGGUUACAAAAGUGGAGCACAAGUCCAACCAGAAGGAGCGGAGAAGUUUGAUGUCUGUAGGUGGGACUGAGAGUGUCAACGGGGAUGUGCCUGUGACGCCUGUGAAGAGAGACCGAAGUGGCACGGAGUAGCAGGUGAGCUGUGGGCUGGGGGACAGGCUUGGGGACACUGGGGCUGGGAGAGGAGGGAGAAGGUACAGAGCCCUUCUGUGGUCUGUGGUCACAUGGGAAUGACCUUAGGGAGGGGAAUUAGAGGACUUCCCUGAAACUGAUAUGACUGUAGGGCACCGAGUCCUCAGGAUUACUUGUCUGGGCCCCUUUAAAGAGGCUUGGAGCAUUGCAGAAUGGUGGAGACUG
rnacentral:lncRNA from 1 species